GCCCUCACUCCCCAGGCCCACACACUAGCCCACUGUUCAGGGUCCGGGGUGGCAGCAUGGCCUGGGGGUCCUGGCACCGCUGCUCCUCUGCCCACCCUAACUUCCCGGCAUGGCGGCUGCCCCCUCUGAGCGUCCCCAACCACGAUAGCCUUGAGGAAUUGGCACGGACAUGCAGAGAGGGGCAUGUCCCAAACUCGGGGCGCUGUGGCCUCCAGCUGCCAGGAGGUAGAUGUGUUCUGACUUCUGGGUUCCCACCACCAGAACUGCAGGGGAUAUGAAGCAAGCUGGACUUGGGGAGACAUCUCUGCUCGAGUGCACGUUGGCCUGAUGACGACUGCUCUUGGGUUCACGGGUUCCAGGCUCUGCCCGGGAGCCUCAUGCAAACUGGUCCCGUUCUACAGACGAGGAAACUGAGGCACAGAGUGAUUACGGCUGUCCCUGAGCUCCUGCAGCCAGUAAGGUGAUACACCAGGAUGUGUUCCCAGGUUGUCCGCUGGGCUCAGUAACACAGUCUCAACUGCCCUGUGACACUGCGUGUCUGUGCUUGUGGGGAAGGUGACCAGAGGCCCCCUUUCCUCCACGCGGUGAGCCUACCAGCAAGGAGACAGUCCUCAGGUGUGAGGAUGAGCCUCGUAGUAGGCACAGAGAAACAGGAGGAACCUUCUGGAAGGUGAAGCCUCCCACGGCUGGGACUCUUGGAGAAGGGCGGAUCUCUGUCCACUCCUGCCCACUCCCCAGCACAGACAGAGCAAGCAGGACAGAGGGCCCAACGUCCCAGGAUACUGCAGAGCUCAAAGGAGGGCAGAGAGCAUCGCCCCACAUGGGCGCCGGGAGAAAGGUGGGCGGGGUGCUCAGGGGCCCCUGGCCGUCCUGAAGUUUGCCUCAGAGAGGUGUGGGCUUCUCCUCCCUCCCAUACACAGUGUCUCUGAGGAUGAACUGCCAUGUGCCCGGCGGGGAUGCCGUCCCUGGCCCUUGCUGAGUGCCUCUGGGACGAGGUCAGCUGAGCCUGCCAUCCUAACUCAGACACCAUCUCACUCUCCAAGUCCCUUCUCGGCCCAGCAAAUUCUCACCUCCAGAGGCCAGGUCUGCCCCGCAGGUCUUAGGAAAUACAGCCCUACUUCCAUCCAGCACACCAACCCAAGGAAGUGCCUCGGAGCCCUGGGGCCCGAGGGGGGCCUGGCCUUGGUCUCACGGCGGCAGCUCCACCUGGAGAGGAGUGAACUCAAGCCAGGACGCCCCGUCUCCACAGCGGAAACCGUGUUGCCGGCUGCUCCCUCCUGGGGACUCUGGGCCUGAGGUUCCUGUGGGAGUUGGGGGGAUAGCUGAGUCCUAUGGAGGUGCCCCUCUCCUCCCCGCCCAGUGGAGCUUGGGGUGGGGACAGGCGAAGACAGGGUGAGAAGCACGGGGCAUUCCCCCUCCACACAGCGCUGAGAAAGUAAGGGAGCAUCCAGAAAACGGUGCCCACUUCCGCGUCAGGCGGAUAUCACGGGCACCAGCUCCAGGUGACCCUAGCCCAGCCAGAGAACAAGGACCAGGUUGUGCCGCAAAGCCCGUGUCCGCUCCCUCCCGCCUGGGACCACUGUGGCGAGGGGAAGGGAGCGUGGUGGCCCUCUCCUGACUCCUGAGGCCUGAAGUCCAAGCUCCCGGCCCUCAGGCAGGCCAGGGUCUAGACACCGCUGCCCCAAACACACCCCCCAGUCCCCGCCCGCAGGCUUCCUGCAGGAUCCCCCAGUGCACCUGGGGGCUGAGGAGAGUGAGCAGGGCGCAAAGAAGCUUCGUCGGGAGGGCGGUCCCCACCCGCCUUGGACCCCCGGGGAUAGUGUCCUGGGGCCUGGGCUCAGAUGCACCCUGGGAGGAAUGGUGCGGAGGCUGUUUUUUGCUCCAAGAGGACAUUGCCUCAGCAGAGGGCUGCCGAGCUGGGAGGACCCACAGUGCAAGGCCGCAGAACCCCCUAGGAAGCCUCAGAGCCUUCAGGUUCCGGGCUGAGGCUGUGGGCGUGGACCCUUGUGCAAACCCCACUGGAAGAAAAACCUUACAGCUCAGGAGGAGGAGGGGCCCCACCCGCUCCCAGAGCCCGUAAACGAGGGGUGGUGCCCACAUGAGGCCUGGGGAAGGGCUGGGGCUGGGACACCCCCUCACCACCCCCAGAUACCCCAGGCAGCCCCUCCCUCCACAGAGAGACCCACUGGGCCUGACCCUGCCCUGGGCACAGGGUCGAGCCAGGGACGGCCCGUGGGAGAAAGACGGCUUCAUGGGCCGCUGGCCGGGCCAGGUGCGUCCUUCCCCAGUUCUAGGUGGCAAAUGGGGUGGGGCCAGAGCCUUCUGGCUAGGGAAGACACUGGCCUGGUUGGUGUGGCAGGGGCAGCGAAGGAGGGUCAAAGGCCACUCUGGCCUGGAAGAGUCCCCAGCCACCUGGACGGGGGUAGCCAGGCCUGGUCCCUGCCCCCACUCUCCAAGGGGUCGGGGCAGCCGGGCAGAGCCAGUAAGUGUUUGUUUUCAGAUGACAUUUGUAAAGAAAAACAGCCUCCCACACUGCUUGACCCUGUGUCUGGAAUGUGGGGAGGCAAACAGCUGUGCCCUUCCCAGACCCUGCACAGCCCCUGGUGGGG
rnacentral:lncRNA from 1 species